GAGCGCACCAAGUACAACAAGGACCAGAGAAUGAGCCUAUCAAUGAGUUGUCUCCUUUUAAGCGGAGCAUUCUGAAGGCUUUAAUAGAAAUCAAAACGGAGCUUAAAGAACAGAGGUCAAUGUUGCAAAAACUACAGGGAGCAUCUGUACCCAUAACAGAUGACUUAGAAUGCAGCACGUCACUACCAUUGCAGUCAUUGGAAAAUGUUGAUGCUCUUGAGAGGUUGUUGGAAGAUGAGGCUGAAAAAAACAGAUUAAUUCGCCAGCUAUCGCUUCUGGGUGGUCAUAAAUUGGAGGACACUGUCCGGAGAAUGCUGAGCCACAUGCUUACAAACAGACUAGCGUCAUUAAUUGGGCUGGACGUGGACAGAAGAGCAGCUUUGAAACCUCUAAUCUUCAAAAAAUAAUGUUUCGUGCAUUGCGAAAUUCACUGCAAUGUAAAGACGUGACGGAGUUUUCGAAGACUGUCAAAAGAUGGCUGCGUUAUGCUCCAGACCGAGAGGGAGGAUGUGGCAGACGAUAAUGAGUUCUUUGAUUGUUUCACAAAUCUUUUAAUCUGUUUUAUUGUUAUUGUUCUGAAUGUUUUGAUUUGCUUAAGUAAUUCGAGUUGUUUAUUAGGGAAUGGUAAGCUCUCAGCUUAGGAAUCAAUAAUAACUAAUCUGUAUAUAGACAAAUUUAUCUAAAUUAUUCUUAAUAUACUGAUAAAUGUGCAUUAUUGUUUGCACAUUGUUGUUAAGAGAUUGUUGCAAGUUGUUAAGAAUUUGAGUUGUUAAGCCAAGUAUAACUAUAUGUUUAUUGAAAUUAUUUUAAAAUAUGAUUUAUGUAAUGUUACAGAAUAUAUGACAUGUAAAAAAUAACCUAAAUUGCUGUUCAAGUAAAAUUCAAGUGUAUUGGAAUCUGAGGUGGAUGAGAACUCUUGGCUUUCUGUAUUGAAAAGAUUGUAGGUUAACAUUUUAAAAUCAUUGAACGCCUGUAGGCUAAAUAAACAGUUAAACGAG